GAAUGGUUUAUAUUGAUGACUAAGAGUGAAAAAGGAAUUCUACUUAGUAGGUUAUUGCAGUCAUUAGCUAAUAUUAGUAAUAACCAAUGCUUAUUUCAUAUAUACUAUGAGCUUGGCCCUAUUCUAAAUGUUUUACUUGCAUUAUCUCAUUUAAUCUUGUGGAAAACUCAGUGAAGUAAAUAACAUUAUUUUAUACAUUUUACAAAGGAAGAAGCUCAAUCAUAGACAGUUUAAGCAACCUGCUCAAGCUCAAGAUCACACAGCUAGUAAGUAGGACUGUAUACAGUGAAAGAAGAAGAAAAAGAAUGAAAUCCUGAUGUACAUGAAAAUUGAAGAGAGAUCAGAAGUUCCCAUGAAAGAAACAGAUAAGAGUUAAUCCAGGAGAGUGUGAUUUCACAGAAGCCAGAGGGAUUGAGUGUUUCAAGAAAGAAGAUGUAGCUGACAGUGUCAAAUACUGCAGAGAUGUCAACUAAAGUAGUCUGAAUAUAUCCAGGGACUUUAAAAGAAAUAAGCCCUAGCUCGUGGAAAAGUAGCUCUGAAGAAAGCAAGUAGCCCUGUAGAGAAGUCCGUGUGGCACGGAAAUGAUGCUUCAGACCAACAACCUUAAGAGAAGACCUUAAGCCUGACAACAGCUAUAUGUGAGUGACCCUACAAGUGGACAUUCUGCAAAUCAAGUUUUGAGAUGACUACAACCCCAGCCAAUCCCUUGAUUGCAGCUUUGUGAGAGACCCUGGGAGACAGGUAGUUAAGUUCUAUAUGGAUUUUGGAUCCACAAACACUAUAAAAUUGUAAGUGUUACUGUAUUAAGUUGCUGCAUUCUGGAGUAAUUUCUUACAUUACAAUAGAUAUCUAAUACACAGAAAUGAGAACCAGGGAGCAUAACUGUCUCAACAUCUCUACCUCUCUAUUCACUGCUUCUCUGUAUCUUUUUCUCUCUCUGUGCACAUCAUGGUAGAAAACACAGAUGUCCUUGGGGCCUAAAUUCCUGGGGAACUAACUGGCCACAUUUGUAUUUGCUGUCACUUCUAGAAAUAUCAAGUAUGGUCAACAGGGUAGGAUUACCUCCACCAUAGCCACUAUUGAUCAUGGGUGAGGAGUGGUUCAGGUAAAUGAGGUCCUAAAAAUAUAAGCACACAUCACUUAAGCAUAGACACUAAAGAAGGUUCAAUUUGGAGUCUUUUAAAAGCCAGUGUUUACAAUUUAUUCUCAAAUAUAUAUUAUGUUAAAAUUUAUGUAUUUUCCCUAAAAACUUUUAUUAUGAAUUUUAAGUCGUGUUAGAUCAUUCAACUAUGUGGGUUUUUUAAUUGCUUUUUACAUGCCUGGGGAAAUUCUUUUUGGAAGUCAGAAAUUAUUGUCACUUUCUAAAAUAUUUAAUACAAAUGAAUACCAAUCACUCCUGAUCUGAGUUUCAGAGUCAAACAUUCCCUCAGUAGUUUAUGCAGAAAUAAUAAUAAAAUUCAGGGAGAAAUAUGGCCUUCUCCAUCCCACAAGUAAGGGAUUUGAAAGCAUUCCUUUGAACAACUCAAAGUAUUAAUUGAUACACUAAUGUUCCCAUUAAACCAUUUAUUUAUAAUUAUUUUAAUAACACAAAGAACAAUGAAGACUUGUUACAGAAUAAAAUUUACAUAUAUGUCAAUAGUUGGAUUUAAAAAGAUAAAAGGUAUCCAGUAGGCUAAUUUUAAACUUGGUCCUGUUAAAGUAUUAAGAGUUCAAGGUACUAAAUUAAAACCCAAAUAAUUGGUAACAUAAAAAUAUGGGUGAAGGCAGAAAAGGUUAAUGUUUACUGUAUCAGUCUGUUUUCAUGCUGCUAAUAAAGAUAUACCCAAGACUGGGUAAUUUAUACAGGAAAAAGUUUUAAUGGACUUACACUUCCACAGGACCUCAGCCUCACAAUCAUGGCGGAAGGCAAGGAGAAGCAAGUUACAUCUUAUGUGGAUGGCAGCAGGCAAAAGAAGAGAACUUGUGCGGGGAAACUCCCCCUUAUAAAACCAUCAGAUCUCAUAAGACUUAUUCACCAUCACAAGAACAGUGUGGGAAAGAUCCACCCCCAUGAUUCAAUAACCUUCCACACAGUCCCUCCCACAGCAGACGGGAAUUCAAGAUGAGAUUUGGGUGGAGACACAGCCAAACCAUAUCAAUUUGAUUGAGGUAUAAUCUUGCUUCUAAAAGAAUUUGAUAUGGGGUAAAAUAAAAACUCAGGUACAAUAAAAUUAAAUAUGUGUAAUUAUAAAAAAGGAAUAGAAAAGCAAUAGACAAUUAGAAAAAUCAAAAUGUUAAAAAUAUUUUUUAAUAUUAAGCUGAAUUGCUUUUAUUCUUUCAUGUAGUAUACAUUUAUUUACUCCUUUACUCCUCAGAUAUACAUUAAAUCCUCUUUUAUGCCAGGCCUUCUGAUAAAUUCUGAAUAAGACAGAUGCUAUUCCUGCUUUGUUGGAGUAUUCAGAAAAGUUUUUUCUUAAAACAAAUAUCUAGAUUCUGAAAAUAUGCCAGCCUGAAGUGAAAGAAGAAAAAUGAAAUUCUAAGCAAUACAUUUUGUAAAUGUUGAAACAUGUCUGGGAAUCAAGGGUACUUUUCUCUUGCUAUAUCAUUGAUUACAAGAUUUCCAGAACACAGUAGAUUAGAGAAUGUGAAUACUAUGACUAUCGUCCUGUUUUUAGGAAUUAAAUAUUCAGGAAAUGAUGCUGCUUAUAUUUAGACACCUUAGGGAUUUUCCAGUGUUUGAUAAACUAAUUGAGCUGACUGAGUCCUAUUUAAAGAGAGCAGAGAAAGCAUAAUAAGCAACCUCACAUUCACAAACAGAUUUUUAACCCAGUCUUUACUUAAAAGAUUUUGUAUUUGUUUUUAAUAUAGUAAUGUGUUGACUGUUUAAAAAAUUUAACUGAAGAAGGAUGCACAAAAAGGAAAUGAAAUGGGAUUUGGGUGGUUAGAUUUUGUGUGUGUGUGUGUGCAUGAUAAGUUGUGCUACUGUGCUUCCUCCCUACUGGGGAGUCCAUAUUUUAAGAAUUGUGAAAAACAAUGUGAACAGAGAAGGCCUAUACUUUUUCUGUAUGAGUUAAGCAAGCAACUGAAAAGCAAAGAUGUAAGGCAUGAAUAAGGCAUCUCAGUCACCAACACUACAUCUUGGUGGAGGAUAUUAGUCUUAAAUGCUUGUGCCAUUCACGUAUUUAUUUACAUAUUUAUUUAUUCAACACACAGUUAUUGAGCACUUAGUAAAUGUCAGGUACUAAAGGUAUGGAGAUAUAGUGAUGGCAAGGCAAAGCCCCUAUCCUCAUAGAGUUUACAGUCUAGUGAAACAGACACACAUGCCUCUGCACACGUGCACACACACAUGCACACAUGCACACACACAGAGUAACUUAUGUUCAGUUUGUGACAACUGCUUUGAAGAAAAACAAAGCAAGAUAAGAGGAGAGAUAGUAAAGGUGAUGGGCAUUAUAGAGACGGUUAUAAUGAAAGACCUUUCUGAGGAGAUGGUCUUUGAAAAUAAUCUUCAUGAAGUGAAGCUGGGGGAAAGAAUAUUUAUGCAAACAUUGGGAAGAAAAGCAAUUUAGGAAGAUAGAGCAGCCUGUUACAGAUUAUAAAAACAGGCCCGGCAUAAUCCCAAAAUGUCAAGAAAGAGGUGUGCAGAAAACGGAGAAAGGCGAUCAAAGAAGGAAGAUAUAACACAAUAUACACAGAUAUGAUGCAGUUAACCUACAUUUUCUAGGCCAUUGAAAGGGCUUCAUAUUUUAUUGCUCAUGCAAUGAAAAGCCAUUGAGCAUGAUAUGGCCAUCUCUAUUAUUAUCUAGUGGCAAAAUUUCCAAUUCAACUUUCCAAAAAUCAAACUCAUUAUCCAUCCCAUACUUUGUUUCCCUAAAAAGUCUUUAUGUUAAGAUUCCUCUAUGACAUUUAAAAAUCAAGAUUCUAUCAUUCAAAUACAUAUACAAUAUUAUGGUCACUAUCAAUUCCUUCUUCUUCCUUGCCUCCCCCCAUAAUGUGUACAUAAAACUAAACUAGAAAUCUAAGCAUCUGGAUUCUAGCCUUUCCUGAGUUACCUACCUACUCAGUGACAUUAACAGGUCACCAAAACUCUCUGAAUAUCUGUUUUCCCAGCUUUAAGAUAAAAAUAGUAGAUAGCCACUGUCAGGAUUAUUGUUUAUGGGGUGUUUAUUAUAUGCCAGGUUCCUCACAAAAGACCAAUUUACAGAUAAUAAAACUGAAGGACUAAUAGGCAAAUUAAUUUUCCUUGAAUUAGGCAUCUAGUAAAAGGUAUUGGGGAUUCAAAGGCAGUUUUCUUACUGCAAAGGUGAGGCAUUUAGUUAAGUUUACUAUCCUUCAUUUAAAGUGCAGCUGUGUAUGAGAGUGUGCUUUGAAAUAAAAAUCAAAGUAUUAUUUUUUUCAUCCAGUAUUUGACAUAUUUUAUAGUUCUUAUUUCAGCACUUACUCUAACACUUAUUCUGAUUCAUGCUCUGUCCAGAGGAUAAAAAUAUAGGAGACUCCAAUCUUGCCCUCAAGUAGUGUCCCAUUUAAAAAAAAAUCUUUUCAAUAUUGUUCAAGAGCCUUACUUCAGUGAGAGAUGAAGCAGAGCAAAAAGGUUGUAUAUAUAAAUUGACAUGUGCAAGAAGUCUUGAAGGAUAGCAUUUAACACAAAAGUUCCAACUUGGUCUUACCAUUUCCCUAACCAUCACACUGGUUCAAGUCCUUGUUGCCUCAAACAUUAAAAGCGGAAGAAAUCUUAGUGUUAUGAACUGAAUGUUUGUGUCCCCCAAAUUUCAUAUGUUGGAACCUAAUCUCCAAUAUGAAGGUAUUUGGAAGGGGAGCUUUUGGAAGGCAAUUAGGCCAGGAGGGUGGAGCUCUCAUAAACAGAAUUAGUCCUCUUAUAAAAAGAGGAAGAGGCGCAAGAUUUCUUUCUUCUCUCUCCACACAGGCAACAAGGAAGACCAUGUGAGGAUAUAGAGGACAUAAGUUGGCAAAGGCCCCUCACAAAGAACCCAACUCUUCUGGCACCCUUAUCUCAGACUGCUAGUCUCUAGAAAUAGAAGUUUGUUUUUUAAGACAUCAGUCUAUGGUAUUCUUUUGUAGCAGUACAAUAGAAGACACUUAAGAAUCAACACUUUAAGACCAAUUAGUGUCCACCUGCUGGUGCCACACUGCACAUGCCAAUGUUUAUAUUCAUUUUAUUUUUAGCAUUGUCAUUUUUCUCUCUAUUCUGGCUUAUUCUUUAAACGUCUUUAUUACUGUCCGUAUUUUUCUAUUGGUAGCAUUGAUUUAGCAGUUUCCUGUGCCUAUUUUUUGAAUGAUUAAUUUUAUAUGUUUUGCCCUUUUAGUUUUUUUCUUAGUUCUCUUAACUCCUUUUUCACUUCAUUUAGAGUUUUAUUUCUUGUUUCAUAUAAUCCAUUUGAGAGUGUAAACCACUUGCAAUCUAUCUUAACUGCCCCAUGCAAAAUUGCACCUCUUACUCUCCACUUAUUCUGUUUUAUUUCUCUUCUUAGCACUUUUCUAAGCCAAACUUAUUCUAUUUUUAUUUUCUAACUUCCCAAUUUGUAUUUAUCUGUUUUUCUUCUUUCAUUGCUGUCAUCCCAGUCACUGGUACAUGCUUAUCACAAAUAGGAAGCUCAGUAUUUGUUGAAUUCAAUGAAUCUCAUUUUCAAAAAUGUCUAGAAGUAUAUGUUUUCCUAAUGUGAGCUCUAUGCUUUUCUUUUGCAGGCUGGUGUUGCUUUCCUUCUUUGUGUUGCAGUAUUUUUUAAUAGAUUCAAUGUUGGGGUGACUUUGUCUCUACUUACAUCUCUCUGAAAGUGUGCAAAUUAAUCAGCAACUGGUAUUUACUUGCGAAAGAGUAGGUAUAUUCCAUUUAUAUCUAUAAUCUGUUACACCUGAGUAUAAAUUUUCUGUUCUCUUUCAAACUUGAGUUGGAGAGCUGGCUGUUAAGGUUUCACCUAUCCAGUAACCUGAAGGAGAUAAAGAAGAAACUAAGACCACCAGCAGCCACAGUUAUGGAAUUUUAUAUCUGCAUAUUCUUUGUCUCUACGUUUGUUAAAAUUCUAUCUGAAAGUUAUGUUUAACCUACUGAAUUGGGAGCAUUUACCACCUAAUUAAGGUUUCUAAUAAAUUUGAUUUCCCACCUUGGGACAAACUCCCAAUUUCAAUAAAAAGUUUAUUUUGAAAAGUGUGGAUUCUAUUAAUUUCAUGUGACUACACAUCUUGUCC
rnacentral:lncRNA from 10 species